rnacentral:rRNA from 1 species
CCUACGGGAGGCAGCAGUAGGGAAUCUUCCACAAUGGGCGCAAGCCUGAUGGAGCAACACCGCGUGAGUGAAGAAGGGUUUCGGCUCGUAAAGCUCUGUUGUUGGAGAAGAACGUGCGUGAGAGUAACUGUUCACGCAGUGACGGUAUCCAACCAGAAAGUCACGGCUAACUACGUGCCAGCAGCCGCGGUAAUACGGAGGUGGCAAGCGUUAUCCGGAUUUAUUGGGCGUAAAGCGAGCGCAGGCGGUUGCUUAGGUCUGAUGUGAAAGCCUUCGGCUUAACCGAAGAAGUGCAUCGGAAACCGGGCAACUUGAGUGCAGAAGAGGACAGUGGAACUCCAUGUGUAGCGGUGGAAUGCGUAGAUAUAUGGAAGAACACCAGUGGCGAAGGCGGCUGUCUGGUCUGCAACUGACGCUGAGGCUCGAAAGCAUGGGUAGCGAACAGGAUUAGAUACCCGGGUAGUC